UACGUAGGGUGCAGGCGUUAAUCGGAUUUACUGGGCGUAAAGGAUGCGUAGGCGGACAUUUAAGUCAGAUGUGAAAUACCCGAGCUUAACUUGGGUGCUGCAUUUGAAACUGGGUGUCUAGAGUGCAGGAGAGGUAAGUGGAAUUCCUAGUGUAGCGGUGAAAUGCGUAGAGAUUAGGAAGAACACCAGUGGCGAAGGCGACUUACUGGACUGUAACUGACGCUGAGGCAUGAAAGCGUGGGGAGCAAACAGG
rnacentral:rRNA from 1 species